GGAGUUGUGCCUGAAAUAAAGGGUCACUUUGAUGUAGUGAACCAUGGGGGUUAAAAUCCACCCAGCUCCU
rnacentral:tRNA from 1 species